AACCAUAGAAACCUGCGGAGUACCUGCGGAAGGAUCAUUGACGAAUGUGCAGGCGCGCACCUUGUGUGCAUAUACGCCCCGCUAUCUACGUGCCAAUUGUUGUAUGGGGUGCUACUGUCGCCGGUGGAACUGCUGCCGGCCGGCCGGCCACUACUAGUAGUAGCUAGCUGUGUGUGUGUGGUUUGAAGGCGGCAGCCAGCAGUGGAACAUAGUAUGGAACGAUUGACUGAGUGUAGUGAG
rnacentral:misc_RNA from 1 species